UGCGUAGGCGGAUUUUUAAGUCAGUGGUGAAAGCCCGGAGCUCAACUUCGGAACUGCCAUUGAUACUAUUAAUCUUGAAUACAGUUGAGGUGGGCGGAAUGUGUAGUGUAGCGGUGAAAUGCUUAGAUAUUACACAGAACACCGAUUGCGAAGGCAGCUCGCUAAACUGUUAUUGACGCUAAGGCACGAAAGCGUGGGGAGCAAACAGGAUUAGAUACCCUGGUAGUCC
rnacentral:rRNA from 1 species